AAUAUUGGACAAUGGGCGCAAGCCUGAUCCAGCCAUACCGCGUGGGUGAAGAAGGCCUUCGGGUUGUAAAGCCUUUUAGUUGGGAAGAAAAGCAGUCUGCUAAUACCCGGCUGCUCUGCCGGUACCAAAAGAAUCAGCUACGGCUAACUCCGUGCCUGCCGCCGCAGUAAUACGAAAGGUGCAAGCGUUACGCGUAAUUACUGGGAGUAAAGCGUGCGGAGGUGGGUGUUUAAGUCUGUUGUGAAAGCCCUGGGCUCAACGUGGGAAUUGCAGUGGAUACUGGGCGACUAGAGUGUGGUAGAAGGUAGUGGAAUUCCCGGUGUAGCAGUGAAAUGCGUAGAGAUCGGGAGAAACAUCCAUGGCGAAGGCAGCUACCUGGACCAACACCGACACUGAGGCACGAAAGCGUGGGGAGCAAACAGG
rnacentral:rRNA from 1 species